rnacentral:rRNA from 1 species
GACGAACGCUGGCGGCGUGCUUAACACAUGCAAGUCGAACGGAAAGGCCCUGCUUUUGUGGGGUGCUCGAGUGGCGAACGGGUGAGUAACACGUGAGUAACCUGCCCUUGACUUUGGGAUAACUUCAGGAAACUGGGGCUAAUACCGGAUAGGAGCUCCUGCUGCAUGGUGGGGGUUGGAAAGUUUCGGCGGUUGGGGAUGGACUCGCGGCUUAUCAGCUUGUUGGUGGGGUAGUGGCUUACCAAGGCUUUGACGGGUAGCCGGCCUGAGAGGGUGACCGGCCACAUUGGGACUGAGAUACGGACCAGACUCCUACGGGAGGCAGCAGUGCGGAAUAUUGCACAAUGGGCGGAAGCCUGAUGCAGCAACGCCGCGUGCGGGAUGACGGCCUUCGGGUUGUAAACCGCUUUCGCCUGUGACGAAGCGUGAGUGACGGUAAUGGGUAAAGAAGCACCGGCUAACUACGUG